rnacentral:rRNA from 1 species
AUUGAACGCUGGCGGCAGGCCUAACACAUGCAAGUAGAACGAGUGGCGGACGGGGGAGUAAUGUCUGGGAAACUGCCUGAUGGAGGGGGAUAACUACUGGAAACGGUAGCUAAUACCGCGUACCCUCGGAUGUGCCCAGCGGGGAUUAGAUAGGAGGUGGGGUAAAGGCUCACCUAGGCGACGAUCCCUAGCUGGGCUGCGAGGAUGACCAGCCACACUGGAACUGAGACACGGUCCAGACUCCUACGGGAGGCAGCAGUGGGGAAGAUUGCACAAUGGGCGCAAGCCUGAUGCAGCCAUGCCGCGUGUAUGAAGAAGGCCUUCGGGUUGUAAAGUACUUUCAGCGGGGAGGCGUUACCCGCAGAAGAAGCACCGGCUAACUCCGUGCCAGCAGCCGCGGUAAUUC